CAUCCUCCAAGGCUAAAUACUCCUGACUGACCGAUAGUGAACCAGUACCGUGAGGGAAAGGCGAAAAGAACCCCGGCGAGGGGAGUGAAAAAGAACCUGAAACCGUGUACGUACAAGCAGUGGGAGCCCCACCACUAAGCCAGUGGUGAACUCCACAUACGCAUCCUUUGCUGAGGAUACGGUUAACGGAGCGAAAGCGACGUUCAACCUCAAAAGAAGCAGAGGGGGCUUAGUGGUGGGGUGACUGCGUACCUUUUGUAUAAUGGGUCAGCGACUUAUAUUCUGUAGCAAGGUUAACCGAAUAGGGGAGCCGGAGGGAAACCGAGUCUUAAUUGGGCGUUAAGUUGCAGGGUAUAGACCCGAAACCCGGUGAUCUAGCCAUGGGCAGGUUGAAGGUUGGGUAACACUAACUGGAGGACCGAACCGACUAAUGUUGAAAAAUUAGCGGAUGACCUGUGGC
rnacentral:rRNA from 1 species